GGAAGGGAGGAAGCGUAGAAGGUGCCGAUGCACUUUUCCUCUCUCCAGCCCUCCUGACUGCUCCAAGAAUUUCAUCGAACAAGACUCAAAGAGGCCCAGCUGCUCUGCGUUUUGAUUCUUCUCCCUCUCUCAGUCCACACUGACCUGGGAGGGGCUUCUCAAACACCACAUUUCCUAGCGUGCUGUGAGAAGAGGACUGUGAGCUAAGAAGGGAGAAAAGCCAAAUAAAAAUACAGACAAACCAACCAACCAAGCACUGACGAGCCAGUAAAGAGGGAACUGUCGGGGAAUCAGGGCUGAGAGAAUCUCUGAUACAGCAGCGGAAAUAGGCACUCCCUCCUCAUCAACAAACACCUGACCUGGGUAGACCCUCUGCUUACCAAGAUCCAGUCCACCUUUUGACAUCAGCAUUCAUGCUGCCUCUUUUUACGAACCAAGCCAAAGUGGUCCCUUCCUCUGGAAAUUAUAGGAUACUUAAUGUACAUCAUAUCCAGGUGGGCGGUUCUCCACUGGCUACAAACAUCCAGCUUUGACUGUCUGACCCAGCCCCCUUUCCAGCCUCCAGUCCUACCACGGCACCUGACACCGGCUACAUCAAACUCCUGGAGCAACCAGAACUCAAGGCCCUUUUU
ensembl:lncRNA novel transcript